CAGCACGGGUGCUUGCACCUGGUGGCGAGUGGCGAACGGGUGAGUAAUACAUCGGAAUGUACCUUGUAGUGGGGGAUAGCUCGGCGAAAGCCGGAUUAAUACCGCAUACGCUCUGAGGAGGAAAGCGGGGGACCUUCGGGCCUCGCGCUACAAGAGCAGCCGAUGUCAGAUUAGCUAGUUGGUGGGGUAAAAGCUCACCAAGGCGACGAUCUGUAGCUGGUCUGAGAGGACGACCAGCCACACUGGGACUGAGACACGGCCCAGACUCCUACGGGAGGCAGCAGUGGGGAAUUUUGGACAAUGGGCGAAAGCCUGAUCCAGCAAUGCCGCGUGUGUGAAGAAGGCCUUCGGGUUGUAAAGCACUUUUGUCCGAGAAGAAAUCCUCUGGGUUAAUACCUCGGGGGGAUGACGGUACCGGAAGAAUAAGCACCGGCUAACUACGUGCCAGCAGCCGCGGUAAUACGUAGGGUGCAAGCGUUAAUCGGAAUUACUGGGCGUAAAGCGUGCGCAGGCGGUUUUGUAAGACGGAUGUGAAAUCCCCGGGCUUAACCUGGGAACUGCAUUCGUGACUGCAAGGCUAGAGUAUGGCAGAGGGGGGUAGAAUUCCACGUGUAGCAGUGAAAUGCGUAGAGAUGUGGAGGAAUACCGCUGGCGAGGCAGCCCCCCCGGCCCAAUAUUGACGUUCUUCCCGUAAGCGUGUGAGCAAACAGGAUUCGAUACCCUGCUAGUCCACGCCCUAUACGAUGUCAACUAGUUGUUGGGGAUUCAUUUCCUUAGUAACGAAGCUAACGCGUGAAGUUGACCGCCUGGGGAGUACGGUCGCAAGAUUAAAACUCAAAGGAAUUGACGGGGACCCGCACAAGCGGUGGAUGAUGUGGAUUAAUUCGAUGCAACGCGAAAAACCUUACCUACCCUUGACAUGUACGGAAUCUUGAUGAGAGGUGAGAGUGCUCGAAAGAGAACCGUAACACAGGUGCUGCAUGGCUGUCGUCAGCUCGUGUCGUGAGAUGUUGGGUUAAGUCCCGCAACGAGCGCAACCCUUGUCCUUAGUUGCUACGCAAGAGCACUCUAAGGAGACUGCCGGUGACAAACCGGAGGAAGGUGGGGAUGACGUCAAGUCCUCAUGGCCCUUAUGGGUAGGGCUUCACACGUCAUACAAUGGUCGGUACAGAGGGCUGCCAAACCGCGAGGUGGAGCUAACCCCAGAAAACCGAUCGUAGUCCGGAUCGCAGUCUGCAACUCGACUGCGUGAAGCUGGAAUCGCUAGUAAUCGCGGAUCAGCAUGUCGCGGUGAAUACGUUCCCGGGUCCUUGUACACACCGCCCGUCACACCAUGGGAGUGGGUUUUGCCAGAAGUAGGUAGCCUAACCGUAAGGAGGGCGCUACCACGGCGAGG
rnacentral:rRNA from 1 species